rnacentral:rRNA from 1 species
CAAUAGCGUAUAUUAAAGUUGUUGCGGUUAAAAGCUCGUAGUUGGAUUUCUGUUGAGAACGACCGGUCCACCUCUUGGGUGAGUAUCUGGUUUGGUCUCGGCAUCCUCUCGAAACUCGUUGCUGCGCUUGAUUGCGUGGUGCGGUGUUCGGGACUUUUACUUUGAGGAAAUUAGAGUGUUCACGGCAGGCAUUCGCCUUGAAUAUAUUAGCAUGGAAUAAUGAUAUAGGACUUUGGUUCUAUUUUGUUGGUUGUUCGAGGACCGAAGUAAUGAUUGAUAGGGACGGUUGGGGCGGUCAGUAUUCUUGAAGCGAGAGGUGAAAUUACUUGGACCUUCGUAGACUAACAACUAGCGAAGACAUUCGUCCUACGGAAGUGUUCUUCCUUUAAUUCAAGAACGAAAGUUAGGGGGAGUCGAAGAUGAUCAGAUACCAU